rnacentral:rRNA from 1 species
AAUUGGAGGGCAAGUCUGGUGCCAGCAGCCGCGGUAAUUCCAGCUCCAAUAGCGUAUAUUAAAGUUGUUGCAGUUAAAAAGCUCGUAGUUGAAUUUCGGGAUUGACGUGAUGGUCGUGCCUUAAGGGGUAUGAACUGCCGCAGUUGAUUUCUCACCUUCUGGAGAAGCAUGAUGUCCUUAAUUGGGUGUCAUGUGGAACCAGGACCUUUACCUUGAAAAAAUUAGAGUGUUUAAAGCAGGCAUUUUGCUCGAAUACAUUAGCAUGGAAUAAUAGAAUAGGACGGCAUGGUUCUAUUUUGUUGGUUUCUAGGAUCACCGUAAUGAUUAAUAGGGAUAGUUGGGGGCAUUAGUAUUCAAUUGUCAGAGGUGAAAUUCUUGGAUUUAUUGAAGACUAACUACUGCGAAAGCAUUUGCCAAGGAUGUUUUCAUUAAUCAAGAACGAAAGUUAGGGGAUCGAAGACGAUCAGAUACCGUCGUAGUCUUAACCAUAAACUAUGCCGACUAGGAAUCAGACGAUGUUAAUUUUUUAAUGACUCGUUUGGCACCUUACGGGAAACCAAAGUGU